rnacentral:SRP_RNA from 1 species
GCUGAGCUCGGUUGCGCGGGCUUGUAACCCAAGUGGGGGCAUUAAGAUGGUGAGGAUGUUUGGUGCGAACUCUGAGCCUGGGUCUGUGGUGUGCCCUUGCUGGCUCUGCCCGUUAAAAGUUGGUAUUAGCCUGUGCGGCCCAAGCGAAAGCUGGUAGGAACGGGCUUCACUGGACCUGAAGUGGUAGGAACGCGAUCAGUGCCCGCUUCCAACAGUGGAAGGACAAUAGGCCGCUACAUCAUGGGUCCGACCUGGACCCCGAGGAGUUGGUGGCGAGGAUCG